rnacentral:rRNA from 1 species
AGCAGUAGCCGCGGGAAUACGUAGGGUCCGAGCGUUGUCCGGAAUUAUUGGGCGUAAAGGGCUCGUAGGCGGUUUGUCGCGUCGGGAGUGAAAACCAGCAGCUUAACUGCUGGCCUGCUUUCGAUACGGGCAGACUUGAGGCAUUCAGGGGAGAACGGAAUUCCUGGUGUAGCGGUGAAAUGCGCAGAUAUCAGGAGGAACACCGGUGGCGAAGGCGGUUCUCUGGGAAUGUUCUGACGCUGAGGAGCGAAAGUGUGGGGAGCGAACAGGAUUAGAUACCCCCGUAGUCCCUGUCUCUUAUAC